CAGUAUCAGCACUAUCUAAACUAAACAACAUAGUGGUGAAAGAAGUAUCUGGAACGAUGAGGAUGAAAUGUAAGCAAGACUAGUGUCACCAACUGACAGCUACUUGAGAAUGAACAAAAGACACAUAGUUACUGCAUGUUUCAAGACCUCCUGUCUCUACAGAGGUUCACUGAGGGAUUUAUAGCUUGAUGAAAAUCAAAGGACUCGGAGCCAAAUGAGAACAGGUCUCUCAUCUUCAACGAUAACUGAGCUUGGAGAGCCCUAGGAGAGCCCUCAGCCAGCAGUAGCAGACCUUGGAUCAGGCCCAUGAGAAUCCAGUGCCGUGGAAAAUGAAUCACCACUGUUUCUCCAGCAAGGGUGUAGCCGGUGUAAUAAGUGUCACUAUGAGAAGCUCAGUUGAAGAUGAUGACCAUGAUUAAGCGUGUGGAAUAGAAGAGUUGAAGCUUGAGGAGAAACAACUGACAACAAAACGGGGCAUCACAUCCCAGGUGUAAGAGACUUUGUCAGUCGGAUAUCUGCACCUCUACCACACAGGUAAG